UAUAUACUUCCCUCCGUUCCAAAUUUUUGUCUUAAAUUUGUUCAAAAACUGAUGUAUCAAAUCACGUUUUAGUAUUAGAUACAUCCGUAUCUAGACAAAUCUAGUACAAGAAUUUUGGGACGGAGGGGGUAUCAC
rfam:Triticum aestivum genome assembly, contig: Triticum_aestivum_CS42_TGACv1_scaffold_404756_5BL